rnacentral:rRNA from 1 species
CAAUAGCGUAUAUUUAAGUUGCUGCAGUUAAAAAGCUCGUAGUUGGAUUUCGGGUGGGAAUGGCCGGUCCGCCGUUUCGGUGUGCACUUGCUACGCCCACCUUGCUGCCGGGGACGUGCUCUUGAGUUCACGCUCGGGACACGGAGUCGGCGAGGUUACUUUGAGUAAAUUAGAGUGUUCAAAGCAGGCCUACGCUCUGAAUACAUUAGCAUGGAAUAACACGAUAGGACUCUAGCCUAUCUUGUUGGUCUGUAGGACCGGAGUAAUGAUUAAGAGGGACAGUCGGGGGCAUUCGUAUUUCAUUGUCAGAGGUGAAAUUCUUGGAUUUAUGAAAGACGAACUACUGCGAAAGCAUUUGCCAAGGAUGUUUUCAUUAA